rnacentral:misc_RNA from 1 species
GUAGAAGGUCAUUAUGGCUCACAAGCAAUGGCUCCAGUGACUGGUUCAUCAUCUUCCCCUUCUGGGGGUCUUGCUAGCGCAAUAGCUGCCCUUGCUGAGCGUCAGCAGAUGGGCGGGGAAACUUUUGUUCAUAAUAAUAGAAACGAAUCUGCAUGUAACAUGCUUCCAGGCAGUAGUAGCUUUUACAACAGGCCGGAUCAGGUUGCAGAGAAUUACCGCUCCACACAGAUCUCCAGCAAUAUAUCACUAGAUUGCAGAACAGCCACAGCAAGAGGUGAUGGANNNNNNNNNNNNNGCUGCAGAUCAAGGAUCAGAAGCCGCUGAAGCUGGAAGUUAUUCAAGCUCUGACACAGCAGAAGAUGCUGAUGGAAUUUCUGUUUCAUUAACUCCACCG